rnacentral:rRNA from 1 species
UACGAGAGGCCCAAACGUUAUUCGGAAUUACUGGGCUUAAAGAGUUCGUAGGCGGCGCAGAAAGUAGGGUGUGAAAGCCCUCGGCUUAACCGAGGAAUUGCGCUCUAAACUACUGUGCUUGAGGAAUCUAGAGGUGAGCGGAACUGAUGGUGGAGCGGUGAAAUGCGUUGAUAUCAUCAGGAACACCGGAGGCGAAGGCGGCUCACUGGGGAUUUUCUGACGCUGAGGAACGAAAGCCAGGGGAGCAAAACGGGG